AUUGAACGCUGGCGGCAGGCUUAACACAUGCAAGUCGAGCGGGGUGAUGGUGCUUGCACUAUCACUUAGCGGCGGACGGGUGAAUAAUGCUUAGGAAUCUGCCUAUUAGUGGGGGACAACAUCUCGAAAGGGAUGCUAAUACCGCAUACGUCCUACGGGAGAAAGCAGGGGAUCACUUGUGACCUUGCGCUAAUAGAUGAGCCUAAGUCGGAUUAGCUAGUUGGUGGGGUAAAGGCCUACCAAGGCGACGAUCUGUAGCGGGUCUGAGAGGAUGAUCCGCCACACUGGGACUGAGACACGGCCCAGACUCCUACGGGAGGCAGCAGUGGGGAAUAUUGGACAAUGGGGGGAACCCUGAUCCAGCCAUGCCGCGUGUGUGAAGAAGGCCUUAUGGUUGUAAAGCAAUUUAAGCGAGGAGGAGGCUCUUUUGGUUAAUACCCAAGAUGAGUGGACGUUACUCGCAGAAUAAGCACCGGCUAACUCUGUGCCAGCAGCCGCGGUAA
rnacentral:rRNA from 1 species